rnacentral:tRNA from 1 species
GCUUCGAUGGCGCAGUGGUAGCGCAGUGGUCUCAUAAUUCAUGAGGAGUCUGAUUUCUCUGGAAGUCAUCCGUAAUGUAAAAUGCCAUCCAAAGGUCGUGAGUUCGACCCUCACUCGGAGCA